rnacentral:rRNA from 1 species
UGAACGCUGGCGGCGUGCCUAAUACAUGCAAGUCGAGCGAACAGACGAGGAGCUUGCUCCUCUGACGUUAGCGGCGGACGGGUGAGUAACACGUGGAUAACCUACCUAUAAGACUGGGAUAACUUCGGGAAACCGGAGCUAAUACCGGAUAAUAUAUUGAACCGCAUGGUUCAAUAGUGAAAGACGGUUUUGCUGUCACUUAUAGAUGGAUCCGCGCCGCAUUAGCUAGUUGGUAAGGUAACGGCUUACCAAGGCAACGAUGCGUAGCCGACCUGAGAGGGUGAUCGGCCACACUGGAACUGAGACACGGUCCAGACUCCUACGGGAGGCAGCAGUAGGGAAUCUUCCGCAAUGGGCGAAAGCCUGACGGAGCAACGCCGCGUGAGUGAUGAAGGUCUUCGGAUCGUAAAACUCUGUUAUUAGGGAAGAACAAAUGUGUAAGUAACUAUGCGCGUCUUGACGGUACCUAAUCAGAAAGCCACGGCUAACUACGU